rfam:Lactobacillus senmaizukei DSM 21775 = NBRC 103853 strain DSM 21775 Scaffold1, whole genome shotgun sequence.
GGGCCCUUAGCUCAGCUGGGAGAGCGCCUGCUUCGCAUGCAGGAGGUCGUCGGUUCAAAUCCGGUAGGGUCCA